GGAACUGUCUUGGGAUUUUGCCACUCAUUCAGAUUCUGCUCUGUUUUAGGUUAGUGCUGUUGCUAUUGUUUUGGCUGCCAGAAAACCUCGAUGCCGCCACCUCUGCUGCCGAAAACAGCCGUUGAGUCUUCUAUGAUGGAGUUUACCACGAGUUGCCGUCGUUCUGGUCACCGGCUGUGAAGUUGGUGUUGCCGGAAUCCACCACUGGUGCAGCCGCUACUUGGUUCCCUCGAGCUCGAGUUGUUGAGACUGUUGCGAAAGUGGCACCAA